GACGAACGCUGGCGGCGUGCUUAACACAUGCAAGUCGAACGAAGUGGCGAACGGGUGAGUAACGCGUAAUCAACCUGCCCUUCAGAGGGGGAAAACAGUUGGAAACGACUGCUAAUACCGCAUACUGAAGGAGGGGAUUGCGUCUGAUUAGCUAGUUGGGGGGGUAACGACCCACCAAGGCGAUGAUCAGUAGCCGGUCUGAGAGUAUGACCGGCCACCUUGGGACGGAGACACGGCCCAGACUCCUACGGGAGGCAGCAGGGGGGAAGCUUCCGAAAUGGACGAAAGUCGGACGGAGCAACGCCGCGUGAGUGAUGACGGCUUUCGGGUUGUAAAGCUCUUUUAAUCGGGACGCGGUACCGGAAUAGAAAGCCACUGCUAACUACGUGCCAGCAGCCGCGGUAAUUC
rnacentral:rRNA from 1 species